AGUAAGUUUAAUUUCUUUUUAUAUGUUUAUGCAUUUCUUAGCAAUCACAAUAUUUAUUUUUAUUUCAACUUUGUUAACCUUUAGUUACAUCUUCAGCUGCUACAAGUGCUAAGUUUAUAAACUAUUAUUUUCUAAUAUGUGUAUGCAUAAUUUACAUGUGUAAAAGUAUUUUUUCUAAUAUGUGCAUGCAUAUCUUAUCGAUAGCAAGUAAAUUGUAUUUUUAUUUUUAAAAAUUUUACCUUUAGUCCCACAACCUCCACAACAACUAACACAACCUUCUGCUGAGUUUACUUACGGUGCCUAUAGAAGAUAUAGGGACCAGCACCCUGGACCGAUGAGCAAUCGAUCAUUUUUGCGGUGGGUCCGGUUAGGAGGGAAUGAUGGGUGGAUACUCCAACCUGCAUCUUGUAAUGUGGUUGGAGAAGACUGAGCGGAAAGGGGGGGGGGGUAGGGGCGUUAAGCAUGGCAUCGUUCCGCCGCUAAUGUCAAUUUAUGCACCACUUGUAUAUUCUGUUAAGUAAAAAAAUAUAAUUUAAAGUCUUUAACACAAAAUAUAAUCAGUGUUUUUUAGGCUCAAAUAUUUAUAAGAUGGUCACAUUUCACUAAAAGGGUGUUAAAACGUAACAAAUACAUCCACCCUUUAAUCUAAAAUAGGCCAAUAAUAUUUGGAAAAGUAAUGGAAGCAAAUUAGAACAACUUUUUGUGUAUUACCCCCUCUGGCCCUCUAGACACCCCUUUUAUCUAUAGAGCUAUAUGAACUUGUAGCCUACUAUUACAUCUAUCUUUUGAUACCAAGGUAUAGGCAUUUGGAUAAGAUUU